GGAAGGCCCGGCAGCCGCGCCGUGGUGCUGGGUGCGGGCCUGGCACUGGAGUAUGCCACACUAACGGUGGACGGCCUCUACCCGGACUCCCCGUCACGGGAGUCGCAGGACGCGUACCUCGUGGCCACGCGCUCCGCGGGCGACCCCGAUCUCCACCUCUUCGUGGUCUUUGACGGCCACGACGCCUGCUCCGGGUUCGCGUGGGAUGGCCUUCCCCGCCUCCUCCUCCUCGCGGCCGAGGACGACCCCGCGGGGGCGUUCCGGGCGGCUAUGGUCGGGGUCAACGAGGAGAUGCAUGCGGCUGCGGCCGUGGACGACUCCAUGAGCGGGACCACCGCCGUCGCGGAGCUCGUGGCCGGUGGCGCGCUCCACGUGGCCAACGUCGGGGACUUGCGCUCCGUGACCGAGGUAUGGUGAGAUGGCCGCGCCGCCGCCGAGGAGGUGUCAUGGGACCAGACGCCGUUCCACGCCGACGAGCGUGCGCGCGUCAAGGCCUGCGGCGCGCGGGUCAUGUCUAUCGAGCAGGUGGAGGGCGUGCGCGACCCCGACGCCGAGGGCUGGUCGCCUACGAGGGGUACCCCACCUCACGUAUUGGCCCGCGAUGGGCUCUACCCGAGCACGACCUUUACGCGCAGCCUCGGGUGA
rnacentral:rRNA from 1 species